CCUACGGGAGGCAGCAGUGGGGAAUAUUGCACAAUGGUGGAAACCCUGAUGCAGCGACGCCGCGUGAGUGAAGAAGUAUUUCGGUAUUGAAAGCUGUAUCAGCAGGGAAGAAAAUGACGGUACCUGAUUAAGAUGCUACGUCUAACUACGUGACAGCCGCCGAGGUAAUACGUAGGGGGCAAGCGUUAUCCGGAUUUAUUGGGUGUAAAGGGAGCGUAGACGGCAGCACAAGUCUGGAGUGAAAUGGUGGGGCUUAACCCCGGAACUGCUUUGGAAACUGUGCAGCUAGAGUGCAGGAUAGGUAAGUGGAAUUCCUAGUGUAGCGGUGAAAUGCGUAGAUAUUAGGAGGAACACCAGUGGCGAAGGCGGAUUACUGGACUGUAACUGACGUUGAGGCUCGAAAGCGUGGGGAGCAAACAGGAUGAGAUACCCGGGUAGUC
rnacentral:rRNA from 1 species